UGCUGGAAGGCGUGGGUUGCAGCCAGAUAUGGGAAUGCAGACGAAUGCGUUGGGUAUUGUUGCUGGCGAGGAGAGGGAAGGACGGGGGUAAAGAAAACAAAUCCUUCUUGGGGAGUAGGAACUUGAAAAAGGGGCUAUGUAUGAAGGGAUUCGUCGGUUUUGUGGAAGCUCGACUGGCGUUGUGUGAGUGAGGAGUGAUUCGAAGAUUGAGGAGGCGUGGGUCACUGGUUCAGAGAAGAGGGAAUACUUAGAUGUCGU
rnacentral:misc_RNA from 1 species